GCAAUGGUCAUUGUAUCCCCUCCCAACCCUUUGUCUCCCGUUCGAGAUUUCUGCAAGGAAGGUAGACGUAGAUGGGUGCGGCAGCAACGACGACAACUGGAGAUGUGUGUAGCGUCCGUGGUUGCUGCAGAUGGUCAUGGUGCCGCCGGUAGCCGCAAGGCGGCAUGGCGCUGGAGGUAGAUGCAAGGGCUGGAGGUAGGUACAGGGGCGCGGCGUGCUUGCAUACAAGAUCUGUUGUUGCAUGCUUGCAUACACGAGAUGUGGCUGCAUUCGUGAACAUGUGUGUGGUGUGUGUUUUCUUACAGGAGGAGUUGGGCGUGUACAUGCUGAAUUUGUGUGGUAUGUCUGUCUGUGCUAAUGUUUCUUCUUUUUUCAUAUGGGAGCUGAAAGGGAAAUAAAAAGGUUGAAUUCAGGGGCUAGAUCUUCAUCUUCUCUUUGAUUUUCUCUCCAAAAUCAGAGAUGAACAAAUAGACAUUGUUGUGGCUUGUGGCAUUAUUCAGAAUUGGGUUUUAAAUGAUGGGAUUGAUGAGUAUAUCAUACCCGAGGAUUAAUGGGUGCCAAAUAUCACUCGUGCUUCAUCGUGAACUGUCCAAGCACAAGAACAAGCAUAUAUGGCUAAUUUUAGGCAAUGGCUUGCCGAUCAAAUGUGGGAAGACCUACAAAACUAUAUGCAACAAAACAUCUAGUAGAUGUAAUGAUUUCUGUGAACUAUUGUGGUUUCUGGAAUUUCAUUGUAAUGACAUAUUAUUUGUUGUAAUGAUGUAGUACUAUUGUUCUUUAUGUUGAAAUACUUACUAGAAUUAAAUUCUUUAUGGUAUAAUAAUUGAUGAUUUGGUUCACUCUCUUCAAA